ACCUUUGGAAUACUAGCCCAAAUGCCAAUGCUCUGUCAACUGAGCUAUGCGGUCAGGUCGGUUUGAAUCCCAAUGUGGCUUGGCAUAUUUUUCAAGCUUGCCCGGUGUGGAUAUGCACUCAGAGUAACAUCACACAAGCAUCAUAUUCACAAAUAUCAUGGUUAUUAGAUUACAUUUGAUAUCGAAGGAACUAUACUCAGUUCCGAAAUAUCGCAUACUCGAACUGCCCCAACUGUAUAGCUCAGUUGGCAGAGCAUUGGGCCAGUAUUCCAAAGGUUGUAGGUUCAAAUCCCACUGUGGCCAAGCAUAUUUUUCAAGCCUGCCCAGUGUGGAUAUCCACUCAGAGUACGUAACAUCACACAAGCAUCUUAUUCACCUGAGUACAUGUAUUACACCAACACAGCAAAUAUCUUGAUGGAAUGAAUUGGUCAGCCCGAGGUAAUGUAUUGAAUCAAUACAGUAUUUGAGGAACACUUAAAAAUAAGGUAUGAAUCACAUAAAAUGCAGAUAUCAAAAUCAAACAUUGUAACUUGAGCAUAAAAAUGUGCAUAUUUGUUUUAAAAGGCGAUUGUUCCUUGAAUGUUCAAUGAAAUAGUGCCAUUGCCUUUUACAAGGAAGACCAUUAUAAAGAAAUACACUUGACUUUCUUCAUUGCCAUCUGGUACUUAGUACAGAUAUCCC
rnacentral:lncRNA from 1 species